rnacentral:rRNA from 1 species
CCUACGGGAGGCAGCAGUGGGGGAUAUUGCACAAUGGGGGAAACCCUGAUGCAGCGACGCCGCGUGAGUGAAGAAGCUAUUCGUUAUGUAAAGCUCUAUCAGCAGGGAAGAAAAUGACGGUACCUGAGUAAGAAGCCCCGGCUAACUACGUGCCAGCAGCCGCGGUAAUAAGUAGGGGGCAAGCGUUAUCCGGAUUUACUGGGUGUAAAGGGAGCGUAGACGGCGAGGCAAGUCUGGAGUGAAAGGCCGGGGCGCAACCCCCGGACUGCACUUGAAAGUGCGCGGCUUGAGUGCAGGAGUGGCAAGCGGAAUUCCUAGUGUAGCGGUGAAAUGCGUAGAUAUUAGGAGGAACACCAGUGGCGAAGGCGGCCUACUGGACUGCAACUGACGUUGAGGCCCGAAAGCGUGGGGAGCAAACAGGAUUAGAUACCCUAGUAGUC